CGAUUAGCGUCACAUCACAGCUAAUUUUAGUAUUUGAAUGCCCCCAGGUUCAAUAACUGAUUGUAUUCUGGAAUUAAACUGGUUAACAUGAAAAAUCAUCGGCUUUUGACCAAACUUUUGACCGAUAAUUUAACUUCUGCUGAUGCUCCAGGUCGACAGAACAGUGAAGUCAACCAUUUCCAUCAGACUUUGAAGACUUUGUUUUGCUGCCGAAGAGAUGCCAAGGCUUGUGGUCAUGAAACCUCUCAGGCGUCGAGUCAUGUUGAUGUCAGAUUGGCACGACACAUGUGUUACACCACGGCACCACAGCGAGCUGAUGGGGAAAGAGUGUGAGAAAAAUGGACUCUGGAAGAUGUUUUCCCUCCUGGUUUUUACAACCCCUGGCCCUCCUUCACAUCCUCCUGCACUCAUUUAUUCCCUUUUCCCUCAGCUUGAAAACGUCAAGGAUGAAAGAGAGUGUGACAUCACCAUUUUGAUAAUUGGCGUCUAAUAUUUCUGGGCGACUGUGGCUGACAGCUAUUGGUGGAUAAAGUCUUAAAAGUGCGGGGAAAAAUAUGUGCCAAUGUUACACUGGCAUCUGAUUCUGAUUUACUUUUUUUAUCCCAAAACCUAUUUUGCAUGGUUGUAAACCAUUAGAAAGUACAAAUAAAAGUAAAUAAAUAUUAAUAAGAGGCCAGAAAAUCUCAUCUCUAGAGAUGAGGCAGUUGGUGUUUUUAAGUUGUUCUUGAAUGUCAACAUUCAAAUACAAUAAAUGUUGAGGUCAGAAU
rnacentral:lncRNA from 1 species